rnacentral:rRNA from 1 species
AGAGUUUGAUCCUGGCUCAGAACGAACGCUGGCGGCAGGCCUCAAACAUGCAAGUCUAGGGGGCGCAGCAAUGCAUCACCGGCGGACGGGUGCGUAACGCGUGGGAAUGUACCUAUUGGUUCGGAACAACUGAGGGAAACUUCAGCUAAUACCGGAUGAGCCCGAAAGGGGAAAGAUUUCUCGCCAAUGGAUCAGCCCGCGUCCGAUUAGCUCGUUGGUGGGGUAACGGCCUACCAAGGCAACGAUCGGUAGCUGUUCUGAGAGGAAGAUCAGCCACACUGGGACUGAGACACGGCCCAGACUCCUACGGGAGGCAGCAGUUGGGAAUCUUGGACAAUGGGGGAAACCCUGAUCCAGCCAUGCCGCGUGAGUGAUGAAGGCCUUCGGGUUGUAAAACUCUUUCGACGGGGACGAUAAUGACGGUACCCGUAGAAGAAGCUCCGGCUAACUUUGUGCCAGCAGCCGCGGUAAUACGAAGGGGGCUAGCGUUGUUCGGAAUUACUGGGCGUAAAGCGCGCGCAGGCUGUCCUUCAAGUCAGUGGUGAAAGCCCGGAGCUCAACUCCGGAAUUGCCAUUGAAACUGUUGGACUGGAGUACGAGAGAGGUGAGUGGAAUUCCCAGUGUAGAGGUGAAAUUCGUAGAUAUUGGGAAGAACACCGGUGGCGAAGGCGGCUCACUGGCUCGUAACUGACGCUCAGGCGCGACAGCGUGGGGAUCAAA